UGAAAGGCCUGAGUGGGUAUGGUGUUGGGUCGUUACCUGAAAGGUCUGAGUGGGUAUGGACUUGGGGUUGGUACAUGAAAUGUCUAAGUGGGUAUGGUGUUGGGGUUGGUACAUGAAAGGUCUGAGUGGGUAUGGUGUUGGGGUUGGUACAUGAAAGGUCUGAGUGGGUAUGGUGUUGGGGUUGGUACAUGAAAGGUCUGAGUGGGUAUGGUGUUGGGGUUGGUACAUGAAAUGUCUGAGUGGGUAUGGUGUUGGGGUUGAUACAUGAAAUGCCUGAGUGGGGUAUGGUGUUGGGGUUGGUACAUGAAAGGUCUGAUUGGGGUAUGGUGUUGGGGCUGGUACAUGAAAGGUCUGAGUGGGGUAUGGUGUUGGGGUUGAUACAUGAAAGGUCUGAGUGGGUAUGGUAUUGGGG
ensembl:lncRNA